rnacentral:misc_RNA from 1 species
UGUUGGGAGUGUUAGAAAUUCUGUGUCAUUUCUUUUUUGAUUAUAUAUUACAGGAAUGACACAGAAUUUCUAACACUCCCGCUA